rnacentral:rRNA from 1 species
AUACGUAGGGGGCGAGCGUUGUCCGGAUUGAUUGGGCGUAAAGGGCGCGUAGGCGGCCUGUUAAGUCUGGAGUGAAAGUCCUGUUUUCAAGAUGGGAAUUGCUUUGGAUACUGAUGGGCUUGAGUGCAGGAGAGGUUAUCGGAAUUCCCGGUGUAGCGGUGCAAUGCGUAGAGAUCGGGAGGAACACCAGUGGCGAAGGCGGGUAACUGGACUGCAACUGACGCUGAGGCGCGAAAGUGUGGGGAGCAAACAGGAUUAGAUACCCUGGUAGUCCACACUGUAAACGAUGAAUGCUAGGUGUAAGAGGUAUCGACCCCUUUUGUGCCGGAGUUAACACAAUAAGUAUUCCGCCUGGGGAGUACGGCCGCAAGGUUGAAACUCAAAUGAAUUGGCGGGG